UAGUGUCAUACAUACUCAUGUUGUCCAUAAAGAAGAUCAAUAACCUAUGUCAUACUGGCCUAGAUGUAUGUUGCAGUGUGCGAGAUAAUAAUCUAUGUUCUUGAGAAAUCUGUUCACACUGAUCACAAACUGCAAUGCAUAAGAUGUAAUCUUUAAUAUCGCUGUCAGACUAGAUGUCGUUGCUGGGUAUGCUCAUAUCUUUCAAUGAACACUUACAAACAACCUACAAAUAGUGAAAGAAUACAAUAUUAAUACAAUAAAUUAGACCAGACAACUUAACAGAUAGUUUAUAGGAGCACAAUAUCAAAUGAAUACAUUACUACAAAUCGAACACUUAAAAUGAAUUUUUCAUAGAGAAUAGAUACACAUAAAUAAGCAUUACACACGUAAAAAUCUAGCAUUUCAUCGCAAUAGACUACAAUACAAACAAUUACAACCACUAGUUUCUCAAAUUUGUCCCAAGCCUUUAAUCCACUGAAUUUACCAUUUUUCAGCCAUAUGAACAAACAUCUUCUAAAAGCUUGGGUCACGCAAGUGAGGCACAUCUAGAGAAAAUUACUUUUUCUCGAUAUCAAUUUUAUUCAUGAUAUAUUGCAAUUAGGAAAUGACAAUUUGCUCUGAGUAAAUAUUUAUCUCAAAUUUUUUUGCCGCUUGCGCUUGUUUUUUUUUUUUCUUCAGCUCACUCUCUUUUUCACUUCAAGUGUUCCUCAAGAGAUUCAUGUAUAUUGUCCAUAGUUGUAGGACGAUAUUCUUUACGACGUAUAAAUCUGACGCCAUCAGUUUUCAUAGAUGGAUCAGUCAUAGUAUACUUUUCAGUCCCAGUAUCACUACUUGUGACAUGCAUAGGCCCAACAUCAUCAGGAUCGUCAUCAUAAGAAAAAGGCUCUUUGUCCACUCUACUAAGUUCAUUUGAUCGUUGUGGGGAAUCAAGCGCAGUACUAUAAACCACGUGUUUUCCUGUGGCAAAUGACUUUUCAAAUAUCUCUUGCAACAACUCAAAGUGUUCAAGCCCCUUAUAUAUGAACUUGCUUAACUUUAUAUUUUUUUCUUUCUUUUUUUGUACAAUAUUGAAAAGAAAAUAUUAGUUCAAUGUACAUAAAUAGAAUAUACAUAAUUUAACUCAUCUAGCUAUCUUAUCGAUACAUGCACCGGUCAAAUGUCAAAUGGACAAGUAACUGUGUUACUAAUAGGAUUCUAAUCAUAUCCAAAGCAAUUUAGAAGUAACUCCUUGAAAUUUUUCGUGUCUACCCUUAAUCUGUUAUGUUUGAACUUGAUUUGUUGUUCAUCAUAAAUGUCUUUCUUUUUGGAUUUGCUUCAAAACUGAUCUAUAAUUCUCCUCCAACGUGAAACAUUAAUGGUAGAACCAUUAAAUCUAUAAUUCCUUGCAUCAUCAUGUACGAUAUGAAUCAGAAUAAAUGUAUCAUCAUCUGUACAUUUGUAGGGGUUUGAACCACGUGAUUUGCUCAUUUUUUUCGUUGCGAUUGUAUAACGACAACAAAAUAAUCAGACACAUAAAAAUCUUCAUUUUCGAACAACAUAUAACUAAAAACAUGGCUUAUAUAAGUUGAAGAUCAUAGAACAAGUUAAGAUUUAUAUGUUACUCUAUUAACCAAUGAAGGUGCUGCCACAGAGUUUUCGUUUGAUAUUCCAAAAUCAGAUUCAAGUUUUAUUUGCAUUACAGAACUUUAAAAAAUAAUCUUAACAUCAUCAGUUGUAACAAGCCGAUAGAAGUUGACAUAAUAUUUUUUUUUAAAAAUCGUACAAAAAAUAAUUUCACAAUUGAACAAAAAAUUGAAAAUAUCAACACAUAAUUGAAAAGCAACUAAAAAUUAUCGACACAUAGCUAAACACAGAAAAAUCUCGGUCUAGGAAUAACAAAUCUAAAAUAUGAUGACAAAUAAAGCAUAAAAGAUUACCGUCAAAUAUGUUGCGCAAGCUGUUGGUGUUGAGCGGCAAGAAUGACCGAUUGAAAGUUCCUUUAAAUUUUGAGGAAAGAAGAAAAAAUUGAAGUUGAGGUUAGUUUUCAAUUUUGGAGAUUUUUAUAGUCAAAAG
rnacentral:lncRNA from 1 species